rnacentral:rRNA from 1 species
GACGAACGCUGGCGGCGUGCCUAAUACAUGCAAGUCGAACGCAUUUUCUUUCACCGUAGCUUGCUACACCGAAAGAAAAUGAGUGGCGAACGGGUGAGUAACACGUGGGUAACCUGCCCAUCAGCGGGGGAUAACACUUGGAAACAGGUGCUAAUACCGCAUAAUUCCAUUUACCGCAUGGUAGAUGGGUGAAAGGCGCUUUUGCGUCACUGAUGGAUGGACCCGCGGUGCAUUAGCUAGUUGGUGGGGUAACGGCCUACCAAGGCUGCGAUGCAUAGCCGACCUGAGAGGGUGAUCGGCCACACUGGGACUGAGACACGGCCCAGACUCCUACGGGAGGCAGCAGUAGGGAAUCUUCGGCAAUGGACGCAAGUCUGACCGAGCAACGCCGCGUGAGGGAAGAGGGUUUUCGGAUUGUAAAACUCUGUUGUUAGAGAAGAACAAGGAUGAGAGUGGAAAGUUCAUCCCUUGACGGUAUCUAACCAGAAAGCCACGGCUAACUACGUG